UUGGUCUGUGGAUCGGGAUGUUUAAUUUUUUUCUGUGCCGUGGAAUACCUAGACUCUAGGCUGUUCUCGAAACCAGCCGCCGCCGCAAACAGUCUAUCAUCCAUUUUCCCCAAGUGUUGUGGGGUGUGGCGCCGGCUAACCGCCGAUGGUGGAUGCUUUUUUUAGGGGUGCACCGCCGAUGGUGGAUGCUGGCUUGGAGUUCCUGCUGAGGUUGAGUUCACCGACAACCUAGAGGGAGCAGCCGGAUCCGGUUCCAUUGGCGCUCCUACACGCGAGAGUUAGGCAAGUCGCUUCACCGGUUGAUUGCCAUGGAGGGUUUACUUGCGCAGAAUUGCUCGGUGCCGUCCAAAGCAAGCAGUGGAGAAGUUCAGAAGAGAAGAACACAUCGCCUACUGGGUCAGUUCAGUUGACAACGGGGGCGGAACCCUGAAGCACUAGGAUGGACAAAGAGGUUGCGCUUAAUAGUGCACUGUCAGACAGGACUCUGUGCGCAUCAGGAUGAGCGUGCUAGAUCCAUCAGGAAAUGUGUUGAGGAUCUAGAAAAAAAGUUAUUAAGACAGAGCUAGGCACCAGCUUUGAUUAACUUGGAGAGGUGUACAACUACUACUACAAUUUGCAUUCGUGGGAAUUGCAGUUCGGUAUGAGGUAUGGGGAAAGCAGUCCAAAUGCCGAGAAGACAAAAUCUAUUCAGGAAACUGUAUGGGUGCUUUGGUAAGCUAGGAGCAGAGAACAGCCGACGCUGCCAUUGCGAGUGUCCCGCGUUGUUAAGGCUACUGAGUGCAGUGGACAAUAGUUGGUUCAUAACUGAACAUCGCGAGAAUCAUAACCAUUCGCCGUCAGUUACAAUGGGUGAGAAAGUGCACUAGUAUUCUGAUAUGCAUAUUGAUGUAUACAUGUACAACCUAAUGAAGCAGCUUCAUAAUUCACAUACCGAGUGUUGGCUGACAAUGAGAGCAGAAUCAAGAAUCUAUUGGGGACUAGCGGAAGCAGCCGGGUGCAGUAAAAGUUCUUUGGUGAUGUGAUCACGUUCGAUACUACAUACAUGACUAAUCAUUAUGUGACCGAUUCAAGAAUCUAGAAUCUAUUGGGGACUAGCAGAAGCAGCCAUUCAGACUGUUCAUGAAGUGUUUCAGAUGCUUCAUGUGCUCCAAUAGAGCCGAUUCCGAAAGGGCACACUGUGAAGCAAAUAUGCGAGAGACAUAUUGCUGGUGCACCUGACACACUACUAGAAAGAUCAGUCCGUGAAUCAGUCUUUCACUUGCAGGUCAAGCACUCUCCACUGUAUCUAUGGGCCAUGGAGCUCAUUAGGAUGGGGGAUGGAAGUGUCGAUGCGUACUAGCACAUCAUGAAGGGCAUCAAGGGAUUGAUGGUGAGUGAUGCGCCGUUGGCAGAGAAGAGUGAUGUCUGGGCUUCAAGGACCGUCAGGCACCGGGGGCUGCUGGCCUAAUGGUGAAAUGUUGGCUGCAGUGGGAGUAGACGGAUACAUCCCCGAGCGUAGCAUGACACCGCCCGUGAGCAUGAUUGGACUUGGAGGGAUGGCACUGCUACUUAAGAACAAAGGAGUUAGCAGGCCAAGAACAAGCUCAGAAAAGGCGCCUUGAGAGGGGUUGAGCAAGCGCAGAAGGUUCUGCAGUAUAUGUCGGCAGCAAGGGCGCAAAAGGACUACGUGCCCUGAGUGCCGCGAUGUUCCGAAGCAGCCACAAAAGUUAGAGAAAUGCAAAAAUUGCAGGGUGGAAGGGCAUCGGUGAAACACACAUACCAGGCCUCUUGCUGGCGUGGGUGUUCAGUAACAAGUAUUUGAGAAAAUGGCUAGUAUCGAAUGAGGAUUUUCUGGUGUGUGUUGUGAGCUAUGCUCCAUGCUUGUUCCUCCAGGAUUUGACACUGUAGUGAUGUAGAUGUUGUCAUUGUCACUGCGAUGUUUUGUCUUAGAGCAACUUGGUAAUUGUCACUCAAUUAAGUGCCUCCCUACGUCUUAUGUUCAAUCAUGAGUCAAGUGUUCUUUCGGUUUGAAGAAUAGCUAAUCACAAAUGACUAUGUCAAGGUCCAAUCUUCAGACAGUGUUGUAUGUUAGGAAUUGUAACUUGGUAGAGGGACACGCAGUCUGUGGGCGUGCGUGAUUAUGAAUUCAAUAUCUAAAUUGGGGGAGCCAACAGGGACGAGCGUGGUAAUGCAUGGCGGUUCAAAAUUCGACUUGGUUGCACAUUGAAAAUUUGAACUAGGAUGGAGGGGACACCAGGUUGCAGCAGUAUAUAUAGCAUGGGAGGAGCAAGCAAUCAGAUUUGAAGGCCAGAGUCUUGGUAAGAGAGAUGGCACCGAGAGCCAGCAUGGAAAAAAUCAUCCAGCUUGACGGGCUGGUACACAAUGACGUUGGCUAAGGACGUUGUCUGGGCAAAAAGAGCCGUUGCAUAUUAAUCUGAUCCGUUGUCUCAAAAAAAAUUAUUAAGGCUAUUUUCUGGCUCCAUUGCCGGGGAGUGAAGCGCUCUUGGUAAGUGGAAAUUGGUAAGGAAAAAUUAUUACUAUGUG